rnacentral:tRNA from 1 species
GCCCCGAUGGCUGAUCGUCUUAGGCAAUCGCCUGCAAAGCGAUAUCAGGCUGGUUAGAUUCCAGCUCGGGGUUCCA